AUCCAGCUGAUGAGUCCCAGUGGGACGAAACGUCAGUCGUGCAU
rnacentral:hammerhead_ribozyme from 1 species